rnacentral:rRNA from 1 species
AACGAACGCUGGCGGCGUGCCUAACACAUGCAAGUCGAGCGGGAAAGCCCGCAAGGGUGAGUACAGCGGCGCACGGGUGCGUAACACGUGGGUAAUCUGCCCAGAAGCCCGGAAUAACCUUCCGAAAGGAAAGCUAAUACCGGAUGAGACCACGGGAACCUCGGUUUCCGCGGGAAAAGGUGGCCUUUGCAUGCAAGCUAUCACUGCUGGAUGAGCCCGCGGCCCAUCAGCUCGUUGGCGGGGUAAUGGCCCACCAAGGCUACGACGGGUAGCUGGUCUGAGAGGACGAUCAGCCACACUGGAACUGAGACACGGUCCAGACUCCUACGGGAGGCAGCAGUGGGGAAUCUUGCGCAAUGGGCGAAAGCCUGACGCAGCAACGCCGCGUGUGUGAUGAAGGUCUUCGGAUCGUAAAGCACUGUCGGGAGGGACGAAUAAGGGCCGGGUGAACAAUCCGGUUCGAUGACGGUACCUCCAAAGGAAGCACCGGCUAACUCUGUGCCAGCAGCCGCUGUAAUAC